UGUGUAGGCGGCUUUUUAAGUUUGGUGUGAAAUCUCCCGGCUCAACUGGGAGGGUGCGCCGAAUACUGAAAGGCUCGAGUGCGGGAGAGGAGAGUGGAAUUCCUGGUGUAGCGGUGAAAUGCGUAGAUAUCAGGAGGAACACCGGCGGUGUAGACGGCUCUCUGGACCGUAACUGACGCUGAGACACGAAAGCGUGGGUAGCAAACAGGAUUAGAUACCCUGGUAGUCCACGCCCUAAACGAUGCACAUUUGGUGUGGGCAGUUCAUUCUGUCCGUGCCGGAGCUAACGCGUUAAAUGUGCCGCCUGGGGAGUACAGUCGCAAGGCUGAA
rnacentral:rRNA from 1 species